UGAACGCUGGCGGCAUGCCUUACACAUGCAAGUCGAACGGCAGCACGGGUGCUUGCACCUGGUGGCGAGUGGCGAACGGGUGAGUAAUACAUCGGAACAUGUCCUGUAGUGGGGGAUAGCCCGGCGAAAGCCGGAUUAAUACCGCAUACGAUCUACGGAUGAAAGCGGGGGACCUUCGGGCCUCGCGCUAUAGGGUUGGCCGAUGGCUGAUUAGCUAGUUGGUGGGGUAAAGGCCUACCAAGGCGACGAUCAGUAGCUGGUCUGAGAGGACGACCAGCCACACUGGGACUGAGACACGGCCCAGACUCCUACGGGAGGCAGCAGUGGGGAAUUUUGGACAAUGGGCGAAAGCCUGAUCCAGCAAUGCCGCGUGUGUGAAGAAGGCCUUCGGGUUGUAAAGCACUUUUGUCCGGAAAGAAAUCCUUGGCUCUAAUACAGUCGGGGGAUGACGGUACCGGAAGAAUAAGCACCGGCUAACUACGUGCCAGCAGCCGCGGUAAUACGUAGGGUGCGAGCGUUAAUCGGAAUUACUGGGCGUAAAGCGUGCGCAGGCGGUUUGCUAAGACCGAUGUGAAAUCCCCGGGCUCAACCUGGGAACUGCAUUGGUGACUGGCAGGCUAGAGUAUGGCAGAGGGGGGUAGAAUUCCACGUGUAGCAGUGAAAUGCGUAGAGAUGUGGAGGAAUACCGAUGGCGAAGGCAGCCCCCUGGGCCAAUACUGACGCUCAUGCACGAAAGCGUGGGGAGCAAACAGGAUUAGAUACCCUGGUAGUCCACGCCCUAAACGAUGUCAACUAGUUGUUGGGGAUUCAUUUCCUUAGUAACGUAGCUAACGCGUGAAGUUGACCGCCUGGGGAGUACGGUCGCAAGAUUAAAACUCAAAGGAAUUGACGGGGACCCGCACAAGCGGUGGAUGAUGUGGAUUAAUUCGAUGCAACGCGAAAAACCUUACCUACCCUUGACAUGGUCGGAAUCCCGCUGAGAGGUGGGAGUGCUCGAAAGAGAACCGGCGCACAGGUGCUGCAUGGCUGUCGUCAGCUCGUGUCGUGAGAUGUUGGGUUAAGUCCCGCAACGAGCGCAACCCUUGUCCUUAGUUGCUACGCAAGAGCACUCUAAGGAGACUGCCGGUGACAAACCGGAGGAAGGUGGGGAUGACGUCAAGUCCUCAUGACCCUUAUGGGUAGGGCUUCACACGUCAUACAAUGGUCGGAACAGAGGGUUGCCAACCCGCGAGGGGGAGCUAAUCCCAGAAAACCGAUCGUAGUCCGGAUUGCACUCUGCAACUCGAGUGCAUGAAGCUGGAAUCGCUAGUAAUCGCGGAUCAGCAUGCCGCGGUGAAUACGUUGCCGGGUCUUGUACACACCGCCC
rnacentral:rRNA from 1 species